rnacentral:tRNA from 1 species
AUUUAAAUAGUUUAUAAAAAACAUUGAUUUGUGGUAUCAAAAAAAAUUAAUUAUUAAUCUUUAAAUU